rnacentral:other from 1 species
AAUUCCCUGCCUUGCACGUGAGUAUUUGACAGAUUUAUAGAACCAACAAAAUAUUAAUGGGAACUGAACUUCGCAUAUCCCGAGGGCUAUGCGAGAGGUGCCUACCUGUUAGAGGACAGGGUUCAAUAAAAUGUCAAAUUGCCACGGCAUAGUGCGGGGAAUUU